rnacentral:lncRNA from 1 species
AUCGCUUCUUUCAUACACAUCGAUGUACCACCUUGCUUCUAACCAUGGCAUCCUCCAACGCAAUGGAAGCUCCAUGGCAUGUUUCACAUGCAUAGCAAGAUUCGGAUCAACUAUAUUUCCAUGGAGCUCUUUAAGGUUUAUAUUUGUGAAGCACCAUCCCUCCUCCAUUAGACACUCUCCUUCAAAAGAGUAGUAGGAAGCUUCAUACAAACUCAACAUUCCCUUCACAUCUUCGCGAAGACAUUCUUUGAAGCUCCCGUUAUCAGUAAAACUCUUGAAAACAGCUGCAUUAUUAUGGAGUAAGUAUAUGUAUACCACAAUUAAUAUAUUAUCCACGUAUAGGAUUUAUCAAUUACUGUCUUGCAUGCAUGGUUACUUAGCGGAGCGCCAAUGAGAAAAAUGGGUUGAGGCCGUAAUAUUGAAUAACCGUAGGUAGCUAGAUAAAGGGUACAGAUUAAAAAUUAACUAGUGCCAUACGCCAGACGAACUGGCGUAUGUUGAAAAUUUUACACUUUACGCUUCUCCAAGUAGCGGACUAUGGAAAAAUAAAAAAAGGCAAAAGUUCAUUACUCUCUCUUGAAGCUUUGAAGUUUAGAAUCACCGUUGGGCCAAGAAUAUUAAUCUCUCGAGCUUCCUUCACCAGCUUGCAACUCCCAUUACACCUAAAACAGGGCAAGAACCUGAUACCCCACAACCCUCGCACACAUACCCACCAGCAUUGUGCUUCAAUUUAGGCAAUCCAUGGACCAAAUCUCCAAAAUACCCCUCUUCUACAAUCCCUAUUCGUACAUUGUGCUUCAAUUUAGGCAACUGGAACCCUAGCUUCUGAAGCUAAUUCGUCACAACAACAGGUUCUUUCUCGAUUUGAUGCAGCGUCUGAUGAUUCUUCAAGUCUAAAUCGUAUACAGGCAUUGAAUGGAGGGACGAAAUUAGGGUUCCCAAGGCAGGAGAUUAGUGUUACCAUUAAUUUGGUUUCAAAGUCAAAGAAGGAGGUGCGAGAGUUUCGGAGGAAGCUCCAGGGCGAGCUUGAUUUGGUGAGGAAGAUUGAGACAAACGGCUGUCAGAAAGCUGGCAGUGAUGUUGAUAAUUGUGUUGGGCAGAGGAAGCGAGUUCACUCAGAGGUGGAGGCGAUGGGGCCUCUUCAGUCUAGGCCUUUGCAUCAGCUGAGUAUAUCUGUGUUAGAGAAUAGUCAAGGUGUAAAUGAUAAUGUGGAGAAAGAAAAGAGGACACCAAAGGCAAACCAGUUCUAUCGGAAUAGUGAGUUUCUUCUUGCUAAAGAUAAGUUUCCGCCAGCGGCAAGGAGGGAGUGAAAUGGGGUUUGGGUUGGGAAAGUUUUCAAAUCAAUUGGUCAAGAGUUGUAAUGCUUUUUAGUUGAGAGAUUAAUGAAGCACAAGCAUGGCUGGGUCAAGAGUUGUAAUGCUUUAGUCCGCUACUUGCGUAAAGUGUAUAAAAAUUUUCAAUGUACGCUAGUUCGUACCGCACUACUUAAUUUUUAAUCUGCGCCUUGAUUUAUGGAAUGCUAUUUGCCCAAUUUAUAUCUAUAACAAAUACUUGCUAUGGAUCAUAUCUCAUAUAUAUAUAUAUAUAUAUAUAUAUAUAUAUAUAUAUAUAUAUAUAUAGAUUUUAAAAUGAAGGAGGCUCACGGAUAUAGGGCAAGUUUCCACAAUUACCAACGGUGCAUUAGUAAAGAUAUAUAAAAUUAAUAGGGCAAUUAUAUGCAUGGGAUUAAUUUUAAUUAAUUAUCCUAAUUAAUUAGUACAUUCAACACCUAUAUAAUUAAUUACAUCCAAAAUUCAAACUUGGUGGGUGGCCGGAAGAUUUUUUUUCUUUCCAUUAUUUUCUUAAUUUGGGAGUCAUCAACUCAUAUAUCAUGUACAAAUUUUUAUAUAUAUACGCAACUUUUUUGUCAACAUGUGCCAACAAAAUAUAGUACGAAUUUGUGGAAAUUUGGGAGGGAAAAACUUGUACAAUGAUUAAUACUCCUACUGUUGUGUCGCCAUGUAAAGUUGUACUUAAAUCAUUGGAAUUAGCAAGGGAAAAAUUAACUUGUGAAUGAUGGAGACUGUAGCCGCCAUAUAUUGUAGCUGUUGUGUCUGAUGACAAAAUUAUACAAAUAGAACGUGCUAACCUUAGCCCUAGUCAUGUUACAUGCAAAAUAUUACUCCCUCCAUUCUUAUAUAAGUUGUUUUAGACUUUUUUUAUAUUUUUAAUUAUUUGUCGUUUGUGAUUAUCUAGGAGAAUUGAUUAUUAUUUUUUUCAAAUUGUCCCUUAUUAUUCCACCUAAUCUUUUGAUCCAUAUUUAUGAGAUAAGUGAGGUGAAGGGUAUUAUAGACAAUUGAUACUAUAGUUAAUGCUUUUCAACCAUUUCCUUAAUUCUUGUGCACAUGUCUAAAACGACCUAUAUUAAGGAACGAAGGGAGUAAAUAGUUACUUUUUCAAAAGUAAAUUGCCUAUCUAAGCUUAGUCUAUUAGUCAUGUACUACCUCCGUCUCUUAAUAUAAAUUUUUUUAGAGUUGUGCAUAAAUAUUAAGAAAAUAAUUGUAUAAUAUUAAAUAUAAUAUCAAAUGUCUAUAUUGACUUUGUAUUGGAAAAGAGAUUGUUAUUUAUUCCCUCCGUCCCUAAUUAUUUAAGAUUUUAGAGGUGGACACAAGGAUUAAGAUAAUGAUUAGAAAUCAUUAAAUAUAGUACUCAAUUGUCUAUAAUACCAUUAAAUCUUUUGUUGGGAUAAGGAGAGUUUUGUUAGGAUAAAAAGAGAGAAAGAGUUUAAAGUAAGGCUGCAAACGAGUCGAAUCGAUCUGGAUUCUAGGUUGCUCAGAUUUGAUUCGAUACAAAAAUGUCUUGAUCGUAUUCGAUUCGAAUUCGAAAUAGAAUUUAAACAAUGUACUCGUAUUCGACUCGAUGCAAAAAAUGACACUCGAAGAUCGAUUCGACUCGACUCGAAAUUAUAUUCGAACUACUUGUUUUGAAUAGAACUCGAGUAAAAAUGAGCUUGUAUCAUAUUAUUAAUUCCAAAUUUACAGUUUAUAAUAUACAAUUUUAAAAAGUUAGGCAUAUGAAUUACAAAAUACACAUUAGUAGCAGCAACAACAUUCAAGUUUCUAGCAGCAGCAUUAUCCAACAAGCAGCCAAUCCCGGAGCCUCUCUUUCAUAUUGGGUGUACAGGAUUUCAAACUCUUCACCCCAACAAUCAGCCAAUCCUGGAGCCUCACUUGGACAGAACAAGGACCAUUCUCCAUUGUUUUGGACCAUUUCCAUAAAGAGACCAGGAACCCAAAGAGCAUAAAAUAAGUCCCGGGCACGGUGCUCUUCCGAAAAGAAUGGCAUUGCCAAAAUUAUGACAUAUCAUUAAGCAGUAAGAGAGACUGGCUAUUUUGAAAGAUACGGGCUACUUUUUUCUUCAAUUGUGUUAUAAUAUACAAAAUUCAUAUGAUGCCAACACUCAAAUAAAAAAUAUAAUAAUAUUAAACCAAUGACAAUGACCUCAGUAAACUACCAACUUACCUUCCUAUGGUUUUUUUUAAAUCCAAAAAUUCAUAGAUGUCAGCAUGCCAUGCUAUACACAGCAAAAGCACCUACAUUCCCCAUUAAAAAAACUAUAAAACAGGAUACAACAAUCAAACAAAUAUAUCAGAAACAGAACAAGACAUAAUUUAUACCUUUCCUCUUGCCACCCCCUUGAUCAACAUAACGGGCAGUAUCAUUGAAGACACGGAGCAUUGGAUGUUCCAUUUGUUCCACGAAUAUAACUGCCAGUAGCACGGAUGUUAUGAACAGAGACACCAAUUCCUCCAGCUGAUUUGCUGAUAACAACACACUCCUUCAAAGUAUCAUAUAUGCCUUCAAUACUAUCAUCUUUAAUUUCAUGCAAAUCAGGAAGCAACUACUCAACAUAGGAAACAUAGAAAUAAAAAUGUUUACACCUUUUUAUAGCUCAGUCAAUUUCCUUUUUAUAGUUUUAGAAAACAUAGGAAUAAAUAUGUUUACACCUUCCACUUAAGAAAAUAGUAUGGACAUUAACCAAAAAAAGAAGAGGAAAAUCUUAAAAAUUCAAAUUCCUAUUUUUAAGGGUGACAUACCGCUUGCAGAAUUUCCAGAACACGUAAUUCUUUUAUCUUUCAAGGAAGAUCUUUAGCAAGUGCCUGCAUUUAAACCACACAUGUUAAGACACAUGUAACAGUACAUGUAUUUUGAAAGAUUAUAAAGUGUAAAGGUCUGCAUUUAACCUAAUCUAACUUGGGACCUAAGAGACGGAGAACGAUUUCUACAAAAUUGCACUUCCUGUUAUUUAAGCGUGAAAUAGAACAAACCUGCAUCGUACAAAAGAUGACCAAGCCCAAUGUUUUCAUAAAGUGCUCUUAGUACUCAUAGAGCUCAUAAAGUGCUCUUUUCACAAGCUCAAUGUUUCUAUUAGUUUCAAAAUCAGUUGUAAAAAUUUUUGGAAAAUAAAAUAUGACCAAUUGCAUCUUAUACAUUGGGUCAAGGAUAGAUGCAACUGCCAUCAGAAUGUUACACUCUCCCCAAUACUUAUCAAAAUUUUCAUAUGGAAUUUUAGAUUUGUCAAAUCGCACCUAAACGCUUUUGUGUACGGUUCGAACUUCAAAACGCAUCAUGCUCACCCCUAGUUUGGAGGACAACAAUCCCAAUUCCCAAGUCAAGUAUGUACUAGCUCCUGUACUGAUGUCUCAACUUCUAAUAAUGCUUCGCUUCUAUUGUACUUACUACGUACAAAAAGAUCAUAACAGUUGUAUAUAUUUCGACUCCAAAACUCUCCAGUUGUGAUUGUUUUAAAGUUGCAACAAGAUCAGUCCCUAUUAGGGAGUGGGUACUCUGGGCUGAAGGUCCCGGGCGAAUGUCCCAAAAGGACAAUGCAAGGAGGGCCAAGGAACCAUGCAUGGGUUGAGGAAGUGUAAGAGCCCAUAGACAAUAUUCCGAGAGGCGCGAUCGAUCGAAACCGAUGCAAGUACCCUGAGACUGAGAUGGUUCGGUUCCCUCAUUAGCGCACACGCACACGCAAUUGAUAUUCUAUUUUUUCCCUUUCACCAUUUAUUAUACACUCUUCGGACGGAAGAACAAUCCCUUAGGCCACCGUGAAAAUGUGAUUUGCAGGGUCGAAGUUCAACUCCCUAAACAAACGUCAGACACUUAAACUACGAAUGGAAGGUAGAACAACAGAAGCAACUGAGUGCUAAUUAACGAUCCAAAUGAAUUCAUUGAAUCCGGAUCCUAAUCCUAGUUAUAAAUUGUUGAAAAUUCCUUUCUUUUGGGAUGAUACUCCAAAAUACACUUAUUUAUGAUAUAUUACUAAAACAAUAUUCAAGGGAUUCUUUCCAUUGCAAUAUAUAUAAAAACUUAUAUCAACUAGCUUCCUUACAGAGGGAUAGGCUGAACAAGCAAAUAAUAAAAUAUAUCCUUUGUCACACCCAUCUCCACAAUUAUAAAAGCAUUGGGCUGUUUUACUAAGAUUUAUCAUUGUCUCAAUAUAAGAUCUAGACAAAGGAAUAUCUGAAUCUUGGCUUAAUUUAUUCACUUCUUUCCAUUUUUUCCUCAUCAAAUCCUUCAUGUGUUCACGGACAACUUUUUCGCUAGCACCGGUAUCAGACACGUAGCACUUGAUUGAUUUUGAAACAUCUCUCUCUCUCUCUCUCUAACUCAUCCUGCAUGCAUGCAUCCAUCCAAAUAAUUGUUACGUACAAACCUCGUCAAAAAUAUCAACAAUAUUUCAUAAUUAAAAAUAUUUUAUACCGAGGAUGUUCCGUAAUCAUCAGCUAGCCUAAAAAUUAGUGAUGACAAGUGUAAUAUAUCUGGCUUGCUCUCCAAAAACUUUAUUGCUUCCACUUUGAUGAAUUUGUGGUGAAAACUUUAUUGCUUCCAUUAAAGCGUUAUAGCUGAUUGCCGUAAUAGAUGAUAUUUAUGACGUGUAUGGUACAUUAGAUGAAAUUGAGCUAUUCACCGAUGCCGUUGAGAGGUUUUCUCUUAAUUAUACUGCUUGAUGAAUUUGUAUUCCCCAUAUGAACUUAAUUUUAACAUUAAUUAAGGUACAUAAUUUUUGUCAUUUGAUAAGGUGGGAUAUUAAUGAAAUAAACCAACUUCCAGAGUACAUGAAGUUAUGUUUCCUUGCGCUUUACAACUCUGUGAAUGAAAUAGUUUACGACAUCCUUAAGGAACAGAACAUCAAUGUUUUACCAUACCUCAAAAAAGCAGUACUAUAUAUUCUUCCACCCCUUAGUAAUUUAUUUCAUAAGAUAGAAGCGUUGCAAGGGGGCCUGCUAUCGACACCCAGGCAUUGCUCAAGUACUCCUCCAAUGUUGGCUUGUGUCCACUAGCAUAUACCACCGCACCUCUACUACGUAAGCUUGAGUAAAUUAAGCCACUACAACAUAAUAUUAAGAAAAAAACAUUUGUAAAUGAAGAUCAUGAAGAAAUGAAAAGAAGAAGAAGAAGUUUUUAUUCAACCAAAAGCUAUGAAAUUAAUUAGUAAAGGGUACCGGAAGAAUAUAUAGUACUGCUUUUUUGAGGUGUGGUAAAACAUUGAUGUUCUGUUCUUUAAGGAUGUCGUAAACUAUUUCAUUCACAAAGUUGUAAAGCGCAAGGAAGCAUAACUUCAUGUACUCUGGAAGUUGGUUUAUUUCAUUAAUAUCCCACCUGAUCAAAUGACAAAAAUUAUCUUAAUUAAUGUUAAAAUUAAUUCAUAUUGGGAAUGCAAAUUCAUCAAGCAGUAUAAUUAAGAGAAAACCUCUCAACGGCAUCAGUGAAGAGCUCAAUUUCAUCUAAUGUACCAUACACGUCAUAAAUAUCAUCUAUUACGGCAAUCAGUUGUAACGCUUUAGUUAACAUUACUCUGCAGUAUUCGAGUAAUUCCCAUUGCCCAUAAGAAUGAUGGCACCAACCUAUCCCUAGCAAAGCUCAAUUCCCUGUUUUGUUCCACCACCUACAAACCAAUCCAAAGCCGGUGAUAAAAAAGAAAAAAAGAAGCCAAUUGUAAGAAUGAAUUAGUAACUUCAGCGGUUUGACAAACAUAUAUAUCCGUAAUAUUAUUUAGGAAUAUUGUAAUGGUGACCUUUUAGAAUCUUCAUGUCACUUUAUAAUCUAAAUAAAGGUAUUUCUAAUUUUGGAACAAAUAAAAGUACAAAUCUUUAAUUUAAAUGAGAAGAUAUCUUCUACGUAUGUACGUACAUACCCUGACAAAAUUUUGAGUUCUUGGUUGAAUCCUUGCACAAGGUUGAAGUUCAAUUUAGCAAGUUGUAGUAAUACAGGGAUCAUGUCAUUGCUUCUUUCAUACACAUCGAUGUACCACCUUGCUUAGUUGCUUCUAACCAUGGCAUCCUCCAACGCAAUGGAAGCUCCAUGGCAUGUUUCACAUGCAUAGCAAGAUUCGGAUCAACUAUAUUUCCAUGGAGCUCUUUAAGGUUUAUAUUUGUGAAGCACCAUCCCUCCUCCAUUAGACACUCUCCUUCAAAAGAGUAGUAGGAAGCUU